UACGUAGGGUGCGAGCGUUGUCCGGAAUUAUUGGGCGUAAAGGGCUCGUAGGCGGUUUGUCGCGUCGGGAGUGAAAACUCAGGGCUUAACCCUGAGCCUGCUUCCGAUACGGGCAGACUAGAGGUAUGCAGGGGAGAACGGAAUUCCUGGUGUAGCGGUGAAAUGCGCAGAUAUCAGGAGGAACACCGGCGGCGAAGGCGGUGCUCUGGGCCAGUAUUGACGCUGAGGAGCGAAAGCGUGGGUAGCAAACAGG
rnacentral:rRNA from 1 species